AUUCAAGGUCCUUUCCCGCGGCGCCUGUCGCCUCUCACAGCUGGAUAAACACAGCAGCAUAAUACAUACUGCUGUACAUACUGCCAGCGAACAGACUGGCUGGCUCUUCUCUGGUACCCGUCAUGGAUUCUCUCUACGAUCAUCUCUCUCAUCUCUGCAGGGAGGACGAUGCGACUCCUUCUCAUGACUGAACCAUCCUGCCCAGAUAACUCACCUGGGUUUCCGGCACAUGGCAGCAUCAAUAUGUGCCACCACAUCAUCAUGGGAACCUCCGUCUCCAUGGCGCUGCUCUGGGCCCCCGAGAGAGCAUUUUGCCUGGUGUGUAUUCAGCUGUGGUGUUGUAAUACAUUAACCUCAUUAACAACCUCUGACAUCUGAUGGGAACAUUGUCCAAGUCAUUGCUGUUCAUGAGAGGUAGCAGAGCUUUAUGAUUGAAGUUAUCAAACCCAAACAGGUAUUUCUUGAACCUUUCACAGGCCCAUACGCUGGCAAGC